rnacentral:lncRNA from 1 species
AUAGUUUAUCACAAUAUAGACAAUUAAAGGAAUACAUUCAAAAUUUGACUUUAUGAUAUGAAAAACCAAACAGAAAUCAAGCACAAAUAAAGGAAUAAAUGAUCGAGUUGGAUACAAUCGUACUAUCAAUAUAGGACGAAAUGAUUUAAGAUAUGACAGUAUAAUGAACACCAUCACAAGUUGGUCUACAGUUUUGAGGGUAUCCCAG